rnacentral:rRNA from 1 species
AGCGAACGCUGGCGGCAGGCCUAACACAUGCAAGUCGAGCGCCCAGCAAUGGGAGCGGCAGACGGGAUAGUAACACGUGGGAACGUACCUUUCAGUUCGGAACAACCCAGGGAAACUUGGGCUAAUACCGAAUACGUCCGUAAGGAGAAAGAUUUAUCGCUGAAAGAUCGGCCCGCGUCUGAUUAGCUAGUUGGUGGGGUAAUGGCCCACCAAGGCGACGAUCAGUAGCUGGUCGAGAGGAUGAUCAGCAUCACUGGGACUGAGACACGGCCCAGACUCCUACGGGAGGCAGCAGUGGGAAUAUUGGACAAUGGGCGCAAGCCUGAUCCAGCCAUGCCGCGUGGAUGAUGAAGGCCCUAGGGUUGUAAAGUCCUUUCGGCGGGGAAGAUAAUGACGGUACCCGCAGAAGAAGCCCCGACUAACUUCGUGCCAGCAGCCGCAGU